AUGCUAUCCUUGAUUUUGCUUCUUGUCUCACAAAGGCUAAAAUAUGAACUAUCUGGCCCUUUCCAGAAAAAGCUUGCUGACCCAAAGUGUGAGGUUCCCAAUGACUAUGCGAAGAGACUUCUCUGUUCUGCAUGUCUUGAAGAGGCGAGCUCAGAGGCUGCACAGAAAGACCCAGAAGGAAGCUCACGCUUUUUCUGGAGGAGAGAAACUUCUCCCAGGUAUUUGCCUACUAUUGUGAAGUCAGCACUGGAGUCCCAGUAACCCUGGAUCUCAGUUUACUUCUGUAACCACAAGUUCACAUGACAUUUCAUAAAUGCCCUGCACUAUAAUUACAAUUUUAAAAAGUCACAAUUAAAUUAAAUCACCAUUAAAUAAGGAAUAUCCUAAUUAAUAGAACUAUUUGACUAAUGAGGUUCCAAGGUCAAAUAAUUAAUUAGUCUCAAGGACUAUAAAGUGGUUGGAGAUCUCAUUUUUUUUCUUUGUGGUAUUAAAACAUCUUAGCAGAUCAAACCCAAGGAAUACUUGCUAAAUUCAUCUAUUUUGGUAAAUUGUUGCCUCUCCUACUUAUCUUACAAGGGAGCUGUGGUUCGGUUUGAGUCCAGAGGAUACCUAGCAUGCCAGGACAGUCUUCAGCAGGCCAUUUCCAACAGGAUCAGUCUUGUUUUAGUUCAUGAGAAAGCAAUUUCUUUGCCAAUCAGAACAAUUUACAUGAAGAUAGGAAAAUAACAAAUGGCUAUAAACACUGUCAGGAAAGCUUUACUGGAAACUCCCUUUGAGAUAAAGUUCUCAUUAGCCCAGCAAAUGGUCUUUUGCUCCUUUUUGGCCAUUAGUUGCUAAGUGUUGCAAGGACAGCUAAUACAUGGGUGGCUUGGCACCUACUUCUACCACAUUACUGAAUGUAAAUUAGUUCAAGUCCCGUUGAUUUCAUGAAUUUCUCAAACUGUAUUGCCUCUGGGAAGCCAUUUUGUCCAUCGAGGCAAACACAGGCCAUCGUUUAUUCAUUUAACAGGUAUUUACUUGAAAUUUGCUUUACAUCAGGCACUGCAGUAGAGUUUAGGAAGACAGCAGUAAAGUCGUCAGACAAAAAUCUCUGCCCUCAUGGAGCUUACAGUCUAAUUGGGGAGCGAAUCAAUAGUGUGAAAGUGCUUUGAAUAGGGGGGUGCAGGUUAUCAUAUGACCACGUUUAUAAUUUAAAAAGAUGGAUCUGCUCUGGCUGAUGACUGGAUCCAAGUGUUGGGUGACUGAAGUGCUGGCCAGCUUG
rnacentral:lncRNA from 1 species